UUCUCUAUCUCUCUACCCUUCUCCUUCCCCAAAACCCAAACGCCAAUCAGAUCUAACAGACCGCCUUUCAUGGGACAUUGGGACAAAUCAAGUUUCAGAGACUAAAACGAUUCCAUUGGAGAGAGGCUGCAGUUAUUUCUCUUAAUGGGUUUUCGCCAGAAUCAGCUGGCCGUUGGGGGGACGAUAUGGUGAUUUUGUAGAUUUCCAUGCACCAAUGUAUAUCUUACAUGCCCACAUUGCUUAUCACGAACCAAGAACUUGUGCUACAAAUAACAAAAUAAUGUUAUGAACAAUGUUAAUGUUGUAGCUUCAUUGAUGGUAUGUACUUAAAAUGAUUUCAAGCAGCUUCAUUGAUGGCAUGUACUUAAAUGAUUUCAAGCAAUUGCUUCAAAUAUUGAACCUUAUUGUAUUUUAAAUUUUUUCCAUAAAGUGGCUUGGCUGAGCCUAAUAGCACUGCUUCGAAUAAUUGUGUAUUACUUUCAACCCAACAUUUGGUGUUUUUGAAAUUGAUUGUAUGUCUUACUUAAGAUGUAUCCAAAGAGUUUAUGAAAUUUGCUUUUAA